CACGUAGGGCGCAAGCGUUGUCCGGAAUUAUUGGGCGUAAAGAGCUCGUAGGCGGUCUGUUGCGUCCGCUGUGAAAACUCGGGGCUUAACCCCGAGCCUGCAGUGGAUACGGGCAGACUAGAGGUAGGUAGGGGAGAAUGGAAUUCCCGGUGUAGCGGUGAAAUGCGCAGAUAUCGGGAGGAACACCGGUGGCGAAGGCGGUUCUCUGGGCCUUACCUGACGCUGAGGAGCGAAAGCGUGGGAGCGAACAGGAUGAGAUAC
rnacentral:rRNA from 1 species